rnacentral:rRNA from 1 species
UACGGAGGAUGCGAGCGUUAUCCGGAUUUAUUGGGUUUAAAGGGUACGUAGGUGGCCCGAUAAGUCAGUGGUGAAAACCUGUCGCUCAACGAUAGGCGUGCCAUUGAUACUGUUGGGCUUGAGUACAGAUGAGGUAAGCGGAAUGUGUAGUGUAGCGGUGAAAUGCAUAGAUAUUACACAGAACUCCGAUUGCGAAGGCAGCUUACUAAACUGACACUGACGCUGAGGUACGAAAGCGUGGGUAGCGAACAGG